CCAGCCGCUUGGCUGUUGGGUUUACAAUGGGAAUAUGAAUUGAAAAGGAGGAAAUAAAUUGAAAAUAUAAAAAACAUUUAUUAACUAAUACCUAGGAAAAUUAAAUGAAUUUUAAUAGUUUUUUUUAAAAAAUGAAUUAUUCUAUCUAAAAUAAAUUAGAGGAAAAAAAAUUGAAAAAAAAGAAAAGACAGACUUCAUCGUCCUCGUCGUCUCUCACUCUUCUCUCUCAGUCUCGCGAUUCGCU
rnacentral:lncRNA from 1 species